UUGGGCUAUGGGGACAUGUACCCACAGACAUGGUCAGGUAUGCUGGUGGGAGCACUGUGUGCCCUAGCAGGCGUGCUAACAAUAGCCAUGCCUGUGCCAGUUAUUGUGAAUAAC
rfam:Astyanax mexicanus chromosome 11, whole genome shotgun sequence.